rnacentral:miRNA from 1 species
UUUCCAGUAGCACCUUAGAGACCAACUAAGUUUGUUCUUGGUAUGAGCGUGCAUGCAUAUGAAAGCUCAUACCAAGAACAAACUUGGUCUCUAAGGUGCUACUGGACA